rnacentral:rRNA from 1 species
UACGUAGGGGGCAAGCGUUGUCCGGAUUUAUUGGGCGUAAAGAGCUCGUAGGCGGCUCGUCGCGUCGACUGUGAAAACUCGGGGCUUAACCCUGGGCUUGCAGUCGAUACGGGCGGGCUAGAGUUCGGUAGGGGAGACUGGAAUUCCUGGUGUAGCGGUGAAAUGCGCAGAUAUCAGGAGGAACACCGGUGGCGAAGGCGGGUCUCUGGGCCGAUACUGACGCUGAGGAGCGAAGGCGUGGGGAGCGAACAGG